rnacentral:rRNA from 1 species
CCGUAGCCCAAGAGAUCGGGAUAACACCUGGAAACAGAUGCUAAUACCGGAUAACAACAGAUGAUGCCUAUCAACUGUUUAAAAGAUGGUUCUGCUAUCACUCUUGGAUGGACCUGCGGUGCAUUAGCUAGUUGGUAGGGUAACGGCCUACCAGGGCGAUGAUGCAUAGCCGAGUUGAGAGACUGAUCGGCCACAUUGGGACUGAGACACGGCCCAAACUCCUACGGGAGGCAGCAGGC